CUACGGGGCGCACCAGUAAGGAAUAUUGCGCAAUGGAGGCAACUCUGACGCAGCCAUGCCGCGUGCAGGAAGAAGGCCUUAUGGGUCGUAAACUGCUUUUAUUUAGGAAUAAACCCCCGAACGUGUUCGGGGCUGAAGGUACUAAACGAAUAAGCGCCGGCUAACUCCGUGCCAGCAGCCGCGGUAAUACGGAGGGUGCAAGCGUUAUCCGGAUUUAUUGGGUUUAAAGGGUGCGCAGGCGGGCUAUUAAGUCAGUGGUGAAAUCCCGGGGCUCAACUCCGGAACUGCCAUCGAUACUGAUAGUCUUGAGUUUGGUUGAAGUGGGCGGAAUGUAGCAUGUAGCGGUGAAAUGCAUAGAUAUGCUACAGAACACCAAUCGCGAAGGCAGCUCACUAAGCCAAAACUGACGCUCAUGCACGAAAGCGUGGGGAUCAAACAGGAUUAGAUACCCUAGUAGUC
rnacentral:rRNA from 1 species